rnacentral:rRNA from 1 species
CCAGACUCCUACGGGAGGCAGCAGUGAGGAAUAUUGGUCAAUGGCCGAGAGGCUGAACCAGCCAAGUCGCGUGAGGGAAGACGGCCCUACGGGUUGUAAACCUCUUUUGUCGGGGAGCAAAGCGAGUCACGUGUGACUCAUUGAGAGUACCCGAAGAAAAAGCAUCGGCUAACUCCGUGCCAGCAGCCGCGGUAAUACGGAGGAUGCGAGCGUUAUCCGGAUUUAUUGGGUUUAAAGGGUGCGUAGGCGGGCUGUUAAGUCAGCGGUCAAAUGUCGGGGCUCAACCCCGGCCUGCCGUUGAAACUGGCGGCCUCGAGUGGGCGAGAAGUAUGCGGAAUGCGUGGUGUAGCGGUGAAAUGCAUAGAUAUCACGCAGAACUCCGAUUGCGAAGGCAGCAUACCGGCGCCCGACUGACGCUGAGGCACGAAAGCGUGGGUAUCGAACAGGAUUAGAUACCCGUGUA